CCAUCUGUUCCCGCUGCUCCCGCAGCCUCCCCGCUCUCCUCCCGCCAGGGCCUGUCUGAGCAGACGGGUAUGAGAGCCUCUGAUGAGGUAGGCCUCAGGCCCCUCCAUCACUCCUCGCCACGAGGAAAGCACCAGCUGUCUGGCUUCAUUUGCAUUUUCUCUCCAAAAUAAUGAAAUUAGCCAUGAGUAUCCUGAGGUGAUGCGAGACGCAAAUUUAGGCUGGAUGUGUCAGCGUGUGCUGGGAAGGGAGAGGGAAGGUCACGGAGGAUGCUCGCAGCAUUGAAAUGGAGGGCAAGGCAUCUCCUGCCGGCUGCCAGGGCCCCGCGACCUGGAGUGAGGCCUGACGGGUGUCUGGCUCUCCUGGGCCCCUCAGCCCACACCGACACCGCCUCACGGGGCCGAGACAUCCAGCCCGUGUCCCUGCAGACACCCAGAAAGGACACGAGUGUGGUUCAGCUCCCCAGGGCCAGCAGCCAGCUCGGGGUGCAGCCAGGUGCUGCUGCAGGGAACAGGAGCUGUGUGAUGGCCAUGUCUGGCCUGGCCGGCCUGGCCGCCCGUCGCGCCUUUGCCACAGCGCGACUGUUCCUAAUUAUUUCAGUGUUUGCUCAAUCAGGGCUCAUCACAGGAGCUGCUCAGCAAUCCUCAUCUCUGCUUCGUGUUCCUGAUCGCGUUUCAGAGUAUUUGCUGAAGUGUUUCCCACAGUACUGUAAGCACACCUGAACAAGAUGGAGCUCUGGCCUUGCAAGCUCUCCUUGUUCUGAGGGCAGGCACUGCUUCUUCGAUUUUUACUGUUGUUCAUUCAGUUCCAGGCUGUUGUUCGAAUGGGAUUGGCCUGCUGACUGGAGAACAAUGCUGGUCUUCUUUAUUCAAGUUUGUUUGCCACAUUCUAUAGCCUGUAUUGUCAGAAAAAGGCCACAUCCUGUUGGAUUCUCUUCCUUCUUGACUGGAACCCAUUGAGAGAAGAGCUUUUCAAAAUAAAACCACUUCAUUAAAAAUUG